UACGUAGGGGGCAAGCGUUGUUCGGAAUUACUGGGCGUAAAGAGCUCGUAGGUGGUUUGUCGCGUUGUUCGUGAAAACUCACAGCUCAACUGUGGGCGUGCGGGCGAUACGGGCAGACUAGAGUACUGCAGGGGAGACUGGAAUUCCUGGUGUAGCGGUGGAAUGCGCAGAUAUCAGGAGGAACACCGGUGGCGAAGGCGGGUCUCUGGGCAGUAACUGACGCUGAGGAGCGAAAGCGUGGGGAGCGAACAGG
rnacentral:rRNA from 1 species